rnacentral:rRNA from 1 species
GUGCCUACGGGGCGCAGCAGUGAGGAAUAUUGGUCAAUGGGCGGAAGCCUGAACCAGCCAAGUCGCGUGAGGGAAUAAGGCCCUACGGGUCGUAAACCUCUUUUGCCGGGAGCAAGGGCCGGGACGCGUCCCGGCCCGGAGAGUACCCGGAGAAAAAGCAUCGGCUAACUCCGUGCCAGCAGCCGCGGUAAUACGGAGGAUGCGAGCGUUAUCCGGAUUUAUUGGGUUUAAAGGGUGCGUAGGCGGAAUAUCAAGUCAGCGGUAAAAAUUCGGGGCUCAACCCCGCCGUGCCGUUGAAACUGAUG